GUAUGCUUCCUUCGAAUGCAUCGCAUCAAGUUGGAGUUGGGGGUUUUGUGAUCAACGAUAAAAAUGAGGUGCUUGUCGUGCAAGAGAAACAUUUUACGCCGGCUCUUUCAGCCUUAUGGAAAAUACCAACUGGUUUUAUUCAUGAGUCCGAGGAGAUCUUUACAGGAAUUGUGAGAGAAGUGUAGGAGGAAACUGGCAUUGAUACUGAAUUUGUGGAGGUUAUGGCUUUCAGGCAUGUUCACGAUGUGGCCUUUCAAAAGUCAGAUUUGUUCUUCGUCUGCCUGUUAAGACC